GAUGAACGCUGGCGGCGUGCUUAACACAUGCAAGUCGAACGGACUUAAGAUGAAGCCUAGCGAUUCUUAAGUUAGUGGCGGACGGGUGAGUAACGCGUGGGUAACCUGCCUCACACUGGGGGAUAACAGUUAGAAAUAGCUGCUAAUACCGCAUAAGCGCACGGUGUCGCAUGACACAGUGUGAAAAACUCCGGUGGUGUGAGAUGGACCCGCGUCUGAUUAGCUAGUUGGUGGGGUAACGGCCCACCAAGUCGACGAUCAGUAGCCGGCCCGAGAGGGUGAACGGCCACAUUGGGACUGAGACACGGCCCAAACUCCUACGGGAGGCAGCAGUGGGGAAUAUUGCACAAUGGGGGAAACCCUGAUGCAGCGACGCCGCGUGAGUGAAGAAGUAUUUCGGUAUGUAAAGCUCUAUCAGCAGGGAAGAAAAUGACGGUACCUGACUAAGAAGCUCCGGCUAAAUACGUGCCAGCAGCCGCGGUAAAAC
rnacentral:rRNA from 1 species